ACAGUGAAGAACCGGUCAAGAUAUUGGCACGGGAGACAAAAGAGCUUAGAAAUAAAAAGAUAAAUUUGGUGAAAGUAUUGUGGCAAAAGCACGGGAUUGAGGAAGCAACAUGGGAACCGGAGGAGGCAAUGAGGAAACAAUACCCAAACCUCUUUACUGAUCCAGAAGAUUCAAAUACGAAGCUAGAUCGAGGAAAGGAAAAAGUUCGGGAUUAGUAGAUUUUUACUGUUUACAAACAAGUAUCAAGUGUUAAGAGCUCGGAGGUCGGAUUUGGUCGGAGACACAUCACACUGUCAACCUCAGGAUUUCGGUAUAUAAAGAAACUUUAUUUUAGAAAUCAAUGGCAUGUAUAAGCUAACAAAGUAAAUGUUAACGUGAAAUGAAUGUAAAGUUAGCCAUUAGUAUGGUUAACAAACCUGGUUAUAGAUAUGUGACGACGUUAUCUUAUAUAAAUGCAUGAAUCUAUCAUAAAAA